AGUGAACGCUGGCGGUAGGCCUAACACAUGCAAGUCGAACGGCAGCACAGUAAGAGCUUGCUCUUACGGGUGGCGAGUGGCGGACGGGUGAGGAAUACAUCGGAAUCUACUUUUUCGUGGGGGAUAACGUAGGGAAACUUACGCUAAUACCGCAUACGACCUACGGGUGAAAGCAGGGGAUCUUCGGCCCUUGCGCGAUUGAAUGAGCCGAGGUCGGAUUAGCUAGUUGGCGGGGUAAAGGCCCACCAAGGCGACGAUCCGUAGCUGGUCUGAGAGGAUGAUCAGCCACACUGGAACUGAGACACGGUCCAGACUCCGACGGGAGGCAGCAGUGGGGAAUAUUGGACAAUGGGGGCAAGCCGGAUCCAGCCAUACCGCGUGGGUGAAGAAGGCCUUCGGGUUGUAAAGCCCUGAUGUUGGGAAAGAAAAGCAGCAGGUUAAUACCCCGCUGUUCUGACGGUACCCAAAGAAUAAGCACCGGCUAACUUCGUG
rnacentral:rRNA from 1 species